ACAGAGGGGGCAAGCGUUGUUCGGAAUUACUGGGCGUAAAGGGCGCGUAGGCGGCCUGCUAAGUCGAACGUGAAAUCCCUCGGCUCAACCGAGGAACUGCGACGGAUACUGCUUGGCUUGAGUCCCGGAGAGGGUAGCGGAAUUCCCAGUGUAGCGGUGAAAUGCGUAGAUAUUGGGAGGAACAUCGGUGGCGAAGGCGGCUACCUGGACGGGUACUGACGCUGAGGCGCGAAAGCUAGGGGAGCAAACAGGA
rnacentral:rRNA from 1 species